CAAAUCGAACUUAACGAUACAUACCAAAUACUACGAGUCAAAAUAAAGAAAAGUCGCUUCCUUAACUAAAUAUUUAAAUCUUACAUCAUGUUCACAAAAGAUACAUCAAGUUCCAAAAUGCAACCAUUAAAAGUCGACUACACAUUUACAGCCCCGAUUCCAAUCAAAAGUAUAAUCUAGUCGGCUUUACCAAAAUCUUCCAAUCCAACCUGUUAAGGAAAACAAACUAAUAGGAUGAGCCAAUACUCAGUGAGGCCAAGAAAACACACAUGCAAACACAUAAUCCAAGUAGUAGCACAACAAUUACAUUGUAGGUAAGGCUAUCAAAUUCGAAUAAUUCACAUUUCGAAUAGGAAAAAUAAACAGAAACAAUUCAAGGAUACUGUAGCUCUCAGGAGCUAAAUUCCACGUAGUCGAGUCGAAGUCUUGAUCACAUCUCACGUUGACACUCCGUCAACCACAUAAGUAUCAAAUCCGUAGAUACACCACUUUUCUUCGAAUCCCGUCACCGUUACACCCCCUUACCGGGCCCGCUCAUCAAAGUUUUUGAUAAUACUCGAGUAUAUCAUGGCAAUACUGCACGAGUAAUGCCGAGCAAGAUCUCUCCAAUAGAUCAUGCUCUACGAAUAUCUCAUGGUUUGCUAAGCUUAUCGACCAAGCCCAUGCUGGCUCGAUUCGCAAAGUUAGCCAACGAGUUUUGGGCGUCCCCCGAAUAUGAAUACGAAUACGAAUAUAAGUCGAUGAGCAACGCUCAAAUCGACGAUUCCAAAUAGGAAUCACAAAUACGGAUCACAUAUACGAAUCACAAGUACAAAUCACAUCCACAUUACCAUGUACAAGUUGGAUACGAAUUCACAUAGCAAAAUUCGAAUAUAAUUUCAUUUGAAAGAGAACGAGUGCGAUAAAGUACACUCGUCUCAAAAUUUCAAAUUUUCAUAACGGAUAAGAAACAGAUAACCACUUAACAACAAGUUCAUGCACUUGACACUCACAGUGAUUCAAGUAGCGAGUUCAAAUGAUGGUUUAGGCGUCUCCCGUGAGAUCCUCUGGAAGGUCCUCUUGAGCGCCUGAGCAUUUAAUAGUGAAUUAUCAUUCACACAUCCCAAUUAUCAAGGAAGAUUGUGCACUAGUACAAUCUGGGGAAAUUUCAUGAAAAUGAACCUCAAUUACUAGUAAAUCGAGGUUCAAGUGGAGUUUCUUAAUGUACAAGAGCAAUCGAGUUUUGUUAUCUUGGAAAUCAAGCAUAAACGUUCAAGUAUUAUCGAAGGAAUAAGGAAUACUUGAAAAACUCCAUUUCCUUGAAAUUCAGAAAAUUUCAGUUUUGAUACGAUAUUUUGAAAAAAUCGUAUCUCAGAUUCCACAUGUCGAAAAUUGGAAAACUUGGUACCGUUGGAAACCUCUUCCAAAGUACUAAAAGUUCUUAGAAGACACUUUUCCAUGAAUCUAAGUGGAAGGUGUUCAAAAAUGAGCUUAAAGUUGCUGUUCCAAAUCACCCAGAUUGAGCGGGGUUGGUUUUUCGCUAACUUUGAAAAUUCAGCAGAAUUCACUCGUUGCAAACCAGCCCUUGAAAUUUGUAGCUCAAUUAGAGGUGCAAGUAAGGUUUAGGCAGAACAAGCGGAUCGAGAAUCGAGAUGAGUUUCGAGCACCAAGAUAUGGUAGCUCAAAGUUGGGUAAAUUUCAAGACUGUUAACAAAUUUCCAGAUUUGGUUCCGACUUUGGACCUUUAGUUAAGUGUCGAAACGGACUUGGAUUGAUACCAAAUUUUGCAGUAUAAUACUCCCAUAUUUAAGGUUAACCAAUCAACCAAAGUUUGGAAAAAUCCUUAAGGCAAUCUGUCCAAAUCUAGGGUUUCAAAAACGAGGCAGUCGCCGUAUUUUGAUCAUAACUCCCUCAAUUUUACUCAGAAUUGGGAAUGGUUGAUAGUGUUAGAAAAUAGAUUCACAGGGCUAAAAUUGUACAGAAGAAAUCGUUUCAAGUUUCAGCAUGCAACUGGUUCGAAAUUAAACCUAAAGUUGCAGCAUCAUCAAAUCAUUUCGGCAGAACGGAGAAACAGGACAGCCGACUUCAGAUGAAUGGUGUGGCUCACACACAUGAAACCAGAAUGUGCAUAUACACCGUUGGAAACAUGGGAACGUCUAGUUUCAAAUGCCACUAACGGCACUUGAUUUCAACAUCGGACUACAGAGUUAUGGACGAAACACGAACACUGGUCUGGUUAUGACGGCAACCGUUUUUCCCAGAUUACUAGCUUUGGAAAUAAAUUCGUUUGACCCACCAAAACUCAGUAUUUUUCAACGAAAAUUUGUACACAACUGCUACAACAUGUAAACAACAUAAUCAGGCCAUUAAAUCCUCAGCUUCUGCAUUAAAAUGACCGAACAGAGCAGGGUAAAAUGGGAACUUUUUGUUUCAAGAGUUCAAUAACGUUUCUGGUAACAAAGCACCUUUAAUCUACUUCCUUAAGCUCUAAUUCAGCAACAAAACCAUCAUCAAACAUCAUCACAGCCAUCAACCCAAAGUGGGAGUUCAUAGAGCUCACGUUUAACAAUUUUCCCAACAAUACAAGCUACUAAAGUGACGAUUCUAGCUCAAAUGCAUAAAUCAAACUCCAAAAGACAAGUUUAAGGUGAUUGAUUACUACCUACUUUGAUGGCUAGUUAGGACAGAAGUUUCAGCCCCUUUGAAGCUUGAAGAACCGUGAAAGCUCCUCCCUUUUCCAGCUAAAUAUGUUGUCCAAGACUUAGGCUAAGUGGUGCUAAAUUUUUAGAAGAUUUGGUGGUGAUUUGCAUGAGUUUUGGAAGAAGAAAUGUUGAAGGUUUCGGUUGUCCCUUUUGCUGCUGCUAUCCGGCCAUGAAGCUUUGCAGAAAUGAAAUGAGAUUGCUGGUUCCUUUGCGU
rnacentral:lncRNA from 1 species